UACAGAGACUGCAAGCGUUAUUCGGAUUCACUGGGCGUAAAGGGUGCGCAGGCGGCCAAGUGUGUCAGGUGUGAAAUCCCGAGGCUUAACCUCGGAACUGCGCCUGAAACUACUUGGCUAGAGUACUGGAGAGGGUAACGGAAUUCACGGUGUAGCAGUGAAAUGCGUAGAUAUCGGGAGGAACACCCGUGGCGAAGGCGGCACUCUGGGACGGUACUGACGCUGAGACGCGAAAAGCGUGGGGAGCAAACAGG
rnacentral:rRNA from 1 species